UACGUAGGGUGCAAGCGUUGUCCGGAAUUAUUGGGCGUAAAGAGCUCGUAGGCGGUUUGUUGCGUCGGCUGUGAAAUCCCGAGGCUCAACCUCGGGUCUGCAGUCGAUACGAGCAAACUGGAGUGUUGCAGGGGAGACUGGAAUUCCUGGUGUAGCGGUGAAAUGCGCAGAUAUCAGGAGGAACACCGGUGGCGAAGGCGGGUCUCUGGGCCGAUACUGACGCUGAGGAGCGAAAGCGUGGGGAGCGAACAGG
rnacentral:rRNA from 1 species